CCUACGGGUGGCAGCAGUGAGGAAUAUUGGACAAUGGGCGCUAGCCUGAACCAGCCAAGUAGCGUGAAGGAUGACUGCCCUAUGGGUUGUAAACUUCUUUUAUAUGGGAAUAAAGUGCAGUAUGUAUACUGCUUUGCAUGUACCUUAUGAAUAAAGAUCGGCUAACUCCGUGCCAGCAGCCGCGGUAAGACGGAGGAUCCGAGCGUUAUCCGGAUUUAUUGGGUUUAAAGGGAGCGUAGGCGGGUUGUUAAGUCAGUUGUGAAAGUUUGCGGCUCAACCGUAAAACUGCAGUUGAUACUGGCAGCCGUGAGUACAGUAGAGGUAGGCGGAAUUCGUGGUGUAGCGGUGAAAUGCGUAGAUAUCACGAAGAACUCCGAUUGCGAAGGCAGCCCGCUGGACUGAAACUGACGCUGAUGCGCGAAAGUGUGGGUAGCAAACAGGAUUAGAUACCCUGGUAGUC
rnacentral:rRNA from 1 species